UACGAAGGGGGCUAGCGUUGCUCGGAAUCACUGGGCGUAAAGCGCACGUAGGCGGCUUCUUAAGUCGAGGGUGAAAUCCUGGAGCUCAACUCCAGAACUGCCUUCGAUACUGGGAAUCUUGAGUCCGGGAGAGGUGAGUGGAACUGCGAGUGUAGAGGUGAAAUUCGUAGAUAUUCGCAAGAACACCAGUGGCGAAGGCGGCUCACUGGCCCGGUACUGACGCUGAGGUGCGAAAGCGUGGGGAGCAAACAGG
rnacentral:rRNA from 1 species